UCAUUUCUGCCUUGUUUCGUCAGUGCGGCCUUUUAUAAUCCAACACAUAUAUAAAGGGAACUUGCUCUUUCAGCGGAUUGCAGACCUCCCGGACCGGUCUUGAGCCGGUUUGGAUGAAGGGAGCGCGAACCUGAGAGGCUGUUCCCACCCUGUCAGAUGGACGGGUUUUAUAUAUGCUGCACAACGGCAAGGUGGAUUUUAC
rnacentral:other from 1 species